rnacentral:lncRNA from 1 species
UUUUUGUGAGGUCAUAUUUUUCUGGAUGGCCCUGAUGUUCAACAGUGUCUGGGCAUUAAAGAGUUAGGUAUUUAUUAUAGUCUUCACAGUCUAGGCCUGUUUGCACCCAUUUCUUGGCAAGGCUGUUCAGGUAUUUGAAGGGACUUGGGUGUUGUGAUCUAAGUUUUCUGUCACUGUAGCCGUACGUGCAUUAGGGAUCACCUCAAGCCCAGAAACAUUGUGUUUUUUACAGACUCAUAGAAAUACUGCCUUGGUAGUCUUAAUUAACAUCCAGAAGAAUUCUCUGGAUUACCUGGCAGAGCCUCUUGUUCUUACUUUCUGCCAAACAAACAGAGCCUCUCUCUCUCUCUGCCGAGCUGCCUGGAGCUGUGAGAGGAGUAACACAGGCACCUCUCUGACCACCACCUCUGGUGUACGCUGAGUCAAAUCUGAAGCCAGCACAACACUGGGCCUUGUGCAAGGUCUAGUGUAAACACUACCUGGCCUCUGCCUAUGUUUGCUCAGGGCCCUAAGGCUCUGCAAUCAACAGGUGGUGGAGCCUGCCAGGCUGGUGACCUUCCAUUCAGAGUGGCAAGUUGCCCCAGGCCCUGUGUAGGUCCAGAGAUGCCGUAGAGAAGCCAGAGCCUGGAGUUGAAAACCUUAGAAAGCUAACUAGUGGUAUAUUCUACUGCAGACACUCCCCACUGGGCAAGUUCAUCUAUGUGCUGCAACAUGAAACUCCUACCCACCAGGAGGUUGCUUUGAGAGAUAACAAUCAAUUUUUAGAACAAAGGAUAUGUUCUACAGAACUCACACCCACCAGGAGGUUGCCUCAAAUGAUGACAGUCAAAAGCAUGCGUGCUACUCUCUCUCCCCUGGAGAGAUUUUGGUGACCUUUACAACCUAUUUCUGCCCAUGAAGAUGCCAGUUUGACUGCCCAACACAUAAUGCACCAAGGUAGCAUGCAGAUUCCCCAACCUUGCUCACUUCCUCUCCUGACUUUUAACAAUUUCCAUGUUCUGCUUUAAAAGUGAAGUGGUAUCCUUAAAGGCAAGAAAUCUUUACUUCUUCCCCUAAACUAGCUUUGGAAUAAGUCACUUUCUUUGUACAAGACCUAUCUCUUGUUAAUUAGAUGGCACUGAGUGACUAGACCUGCUUUCAGUUCCUAAUCAACUUGUUUUUCGUAAUACGCAAAAACUAUUUACAGUCCCACAUUUGCAAAGACUGUCUGGACAUCGCCAC